rnacentral:rRNA from 1 species
AUGUAUGAUUUCAGUUGUGAGAACAUGAAGGACUUGAAGUUGGGAUCUAUCGAAAUUGCGACAGGAAAAGGACUUCGUUUUCUCCUUGGGAGGUGCAAAGCACUGGAGAAGCUUUGCUUGGAGUAUGUUCGGGGUCUAAAUGACAACGACCUGAUUGCAUUAUCCCAGAGCUGCAACAACCUUAAAAGCAUCUCACUUUCGCUGGAUCCUCAGUACUAUCACGAUGAUUUCAGGACGGCAUUUACUGAUAACAGCCUUAAGGCUCUAGCUCUCAGCUGCCCUAUGCUUGAGACUGUUGAGCUCACAUUUGCAGAUUGUUCUCCCAUGUACCCGUCAGAAAUAGGCUUCACACGGAAGGGCCUAGUGGCUCUCAUUCAGUCUUGCCCGAUUCGUGUUCUCGUGCUAAGGCGCGCCAACUUCUUUAAUGACAAGGGGAUGAAGGCCCUCUCAUCUGCUCCAUUACUGGAGACGCUCGAGCUUGUGGAUUGCGAGGCUAUAACUAAUGCUGGGCUGGGUUUCAUUGUGCAUGCCCCAUGCUUGAUUAAUCUCACGCUCCUCUGUGAAGGUGUGACUGAUGUUGGAGUAUCGAAGCUGGCACAUUCACAGAAGUUAGAGUCUCUGAUCAUUGAACGCUGUUGCUGCGUCUCUGAGCAGGCAGUGCGUGGGGCUGCCAGAUCAGUUCAAUACUCCGAGUCUGUAAGCCACAGCGAGCUAGAAAAAUUGUUCAUGAGUUCUUAA